CCAAUAGCGUAUAUUAAAGUUGUUGCAGUUAAAAAGCUCGUAGUUGAAUUUCGGGAUCAAUAUGUCGGUCGUGCCUCGGUACGUACUGGUGUCAUUGGUUUCUCCCUUCUGAAGAACCUUGAUGUCAUUAAUUUGGUGUCUUGGGGAAUCAGGACUGUUACUUUGAAAAAAUUAGAGUGUUUAAAGCGGGCUCGCGCUUGAAUACAUUAGCAUGGAAUAAUGAAAUAGGACGUUUGAUUCUAUUUUGUUGGUUUCUAGGAUCGACGUAAUGAUUAAUAGGGAUAGUUGGGGGCAUUAGUAUUCAAUUGUCAGAGGUGAAAUUCUUGGAUUUAUUGAAGACUAACUACUGCGAAAGCAUUUGCCAAGGAUGUUUUCAUUAAUCAAGAACGAAAGUUAGGGGAUCGAAGACGAUCAGAUACCGUCGUAGUCUUAACCAUAAACUAUGCCGACUAGGGAUCGGAUGAUGUUGAUUUUUUAAUGACUCAUUCGGCGCCUUACG
rnacentral:rRNA from 1 species